rnacentral:rRNA from 1 species
UACGUAGGGUGCAAGCGUUAAUCGGAAUUACUGGGCGUAAAGCGUGCGCAGGCGGUGAUGUAAGACAGGUGUGAAAUCCCCGGGCUUAACCUGGGAACUGCAUUUGUGACUGCAUCGCUGGAGUGCGGCAGAGGGGGAUGGAAUUCCGCGUGUAGCAGUGAAAUGCGUAGAUAUGCGGAGGAACACCGAUGGCGAAGGCAAUCCCCUGGGCCUGCACUGACGCUCAUGCACGAAAGCGUGGGGAGCAAACGGG